GCAAACUUGGUCAUUUAGAGGAAGUAAAAGUCGUAACAAGGUUUCCGUAGGUGAACCUGCGGAAGGAUCAUUACAGAAAUAAACUUGAUGGAUUUUGCUGCUGGCUCUCUCGAGAGCAACGUGCGCGUCCGUCAUCUUUAUCUUUCCACCAAUGUGCACUCUGCAUGAGUCUGAACCUCCCUUUGGGGAUUGCAACCUCGGUUGCUUAUCAGGCUUCAUGUUUUAAUUUUUACACACACCAUGUAUGUUGAAGAACGGCAAUCAAGGGCAUUCAUUGCCUAUAAAACACAAUACAACUUUCAGCAACGGAUCUCUUGGCUCUCGCAUCGAUGAAGAACGCAGC
rnacentral:misc_RNA from 1 species